CCCUUAGAUGUUCUGGGCCGCACGCGCGCUACACUGAUGCAUUCAACGAGCCUAUCCUUGACCGACAGGUCCGGGUAAUCUUUGAAUCUGCAUCGUGACGGGGAUAGAUUAUUGCAAUUAUUAAUCUUCAACGAGGAAUGCCUAGUAGGCGCAAGUCAUCAGCUUGCGUCGAUUACGUCCCUGCCCUUUGUACGCACCGCCCGUCGCUCCUACCGAUUGGGUGUGCUGGUGAAAUGUUCGGAUCGGCCGUUUGUCGCGGUUUCCGCGUCAUGUGGCUGAGAAGUUCAUUAAACCCUCCCACCUAGAGGAAGGAGAAGUCAUAACA
rnacentral:rRNA from 1 species